GUGGGCAACGUGGAGUGGCUGUUUUAGGUGGCUUCAACAGUUGGUUACUAGGGAAGCUAGCUCAUAGUUUAAUUGACGACCACGAUGGUUUUCGUAGACUCGAUUAUUCAAUAUCAAAAUUGUCCGAUCUAGCGUGAUCGUUUUAUUCUAUGAAGAUUUAGAGAGCCAGUCACACCCUCACACUUCAUCGCCAAUUUCUUCCUCGCGUACUGCG
rnacentral:lncRNA from 1 species